AGUGAACGCUGGCGGCAGGCCUAACACAUGCAAGUCGAGCGGCAGCGCGGGGGCAACCCUGGCGGCGAGCGGCGGGCGGGUGAGGAAUUCGUCGGAAUCUGCCUUUUUGUGGGGGAUAACGUAGGGAAACUUACGCUAAUACCGCAUACGUCCUACGGGAGAAAGUGGGGGACCGCAAGGCCUCACGCAGAAAGAUGAGCCGACGACCGAUUAGCUAGUUGGUGGGGUAAAGGCCCACCAAGGCGACGAUCGGUAGCUGGUCUGAGAGGAUGAUCAGCCACACUGGGACUGAGACACGGCCCAGACUCCUACGGGAGGCAGCAGUGGGGAAUAUUGGACAAUGGGCGCAAGCCUGAUCCAGCCAUGCCGCGUGUGUGAAGAAGGCCUUCGGGUUGUAAAGCACUUUUGUCCGGAAAGAAAUCCCUGGAGCUAAUACCUUCGGGGGAUGACGGUACCGGAAGAAUAAGCACCGGCUAACUUCGUG
rnacentral:rRNA from 1 species